rnacentral:lncRNA from 1 species
CCUAUCGAUGGCCCGUCGCUAAAACUGGUGUAGUGGCGACUAUUGGGUCUGGUUCGCCACCCUUUGUUGCCUUAAGAGCUGAUAUGGAUGCUCUGCCUAUCCAGGUCUGUUCUGUUUCCGUAAAUAUAAAAUUGAAUUAUAUACCCAUAAGGAGUACCUGAAGUGAAAUGCGACGAUCUUUGUAAGAUCAGGUUUCAUCGCUUGAAAAGAAUUUUACAGAGAGUUCAAGCUCUGAUUUAUGUAAGGUCAGAGUUUGAUCCGUUGAAAAACACUUACAGAGAAGGGUAGCCUAAAAAUAGAUUAGUCCUUAUGUCAAAAAGGGUAUGGAAUAGUUAUUGAAAAUUCAAAAAUAUAAAAUUAUAUACGAAUUUGGUGGGGAAUUCAAUUUAAGUUAUUUGUCUUGUGAGUGAUUUGGGAUUAAUGUUUUGUUGUCAUUAUUGUUAUUGUUGUUUGAUACGAAAUUUAAUUGUCUGGUUGAUUUUCAUAAACACCACUAAAUUACAAAAAGUUAUGCUAAUAUAUAGGAAUUGACUGAAUGGGAGCACAAGAGUAAAGUAGAUGGGAAAAUGCAUGCCUGUGGCCAUGAUGGACAUGUCGCAAUGCUUCUUGGAGCAGCUAAAAUCCUGCAAGAAUUAAGACAUAUGUUGCAGGUAAUUAAAAGUUUGUAUUU